UACCAGCACCCCGAGUGGUCGGGACGUUUAUUGGGCCUAAAGCAUCCGUAGCCGGUUCUACAAGUCUUCCGUUAAAUCCACCUGCUUAACAGAUGGGCUGCGGAAGAUACUAUAGAGCUAGGAGGCGGGAGAGGCAAGCGGUACUCGAUGGGUAGGGGUAAAAUCCGUUGAUCCAUUGAAGACCACCAGUGGCGAAGGCGGCUUGCCAGAACGCGCUCGACGGUGAGGGAUGAAAGCUGGGGGAGCAAACC
rnacentral:rRNA from 1 species